rnacentral:tRNA from 1 species
UCCCUGGUGGCCUAGUGGUUAAGGAUUCAGUGUUGUCACUGCUGUGGUUCAAGUUCAAUCCCUGGUCAGGGAA